ACUGUUAACCCAAGGGCCACUCGGACUCCGCCAGGGACCAGUUGCUGAGGCCAAGGCCACCGCGCUGGGAACUGAACCAGUAGGUACAAUCACCGCCAUGUUGACCACCUCCUGCGACCCCUCGACCCGCUGCAGCAGGAUCGGCUUGCGGGUCAGUGGCUGGGGCUGGAUCUCCGCCGCCAUCGGAGGGGGCGCGCCCGGGGAGCAGCCGAACGCGCCGGGGGACUUGGCUGAAGAGAACGCUCAGGCUUGCGCUCAGGAUCGGGCUGCGAAGCGGAGCGGGCCUUUGGGAGCCAGCGACCAUAGCCCUGCCGCCUGUCCAGGGAAUGUGCCCGCUCUGGCUUCCAAAACCAACACCGCCGCCACACUAGCCGCAAGCCGGCGCCACCUAAGAGAGUAGGGGGCGGGGAGCAGGGGGCGGGGCGGGGCGGGGCCCUGUCGCAAGGCGGCCAACCCACUUCCGGAGGAUGGGCACUAGCAGCCAAUGCGCGUGCGUCAGUCCAGGAGCCACUUCCGCCCCGCCGCCCGUAAGUAACCGAGGCCCGCAGUGCUGUCAGGACGCAUGCGCCCCGCAGUCCUUUACUUUCCCUUCCACACCCAAAGCUUUGUCCCCUCCCUCAUAAAAAAAAAAAUCUGUGAAUGCGCGUGCCCAGAGCCCCACCCUCUCCAGACUCUGGGGGCGGGGAAAAGCCUACGUCAGCCGCACCGGAAAAGCGCCUGCAGGAAGGAUAGAGGCUAAACUAGUUGGGACGUGAGUGUGCAUGCGCGCAGAUGACUCACCGCUAAGUUUUAACAAUAACACACCGGAGAGGGCGCUGUGCUGUCGGCCGUAGAGAAACGGCUCUUGCCAGCACCGCGUGGACUCUUGGGGGUUGUAGUUUCCUCCAUCCUCGACGUCCUUGUUCUAGAAAGCAGUAACGCCCACUUCUCAGCCCAGGAGAGAUGUGGGCAAACGAAACUCUGCGCCUUCUGUGGGUUAUUGCCCAAGUCAGAGGCAGAAAUAGUGUAGUAUCUAAGAGGGAGAACUAAAGAGCAAGCCCUGCUGAGCAAGACUUCUCUCGGGGUCACACUGCCACCGGUUUUAGUGAGAUAUGAGGGUAGAGGAAGAAGAGACUCUCAUACAAGCUUCUUUGAGGGAGUUUAGAGAUCAUGGUAUCAAUCUUCUCUUUGUAUUAUGAAUAAAGGACUCACACUUG
ensembl:lincRNA Gm26536 predicted gene, 26536